CCUACGGGAGGCAGCAGUGAGGAAUAUUGGUCAAUGGGCGCGAGCCUGAACCAGCCAAGUAGCGUGAAGGAUGACUGCCCUACGGGUUGUAAACUUCUUUUAUCAAGGAAUAAAGUGAGGCACGUGUGCCUUUUUGUAUGUACUUUAUGAAUAAGGAUCGGCUAACUCCGUGCCAGCAGCCGCGGUAAUACGGAGGAUCCGCGCGUUAUCCGGAUUUAUUGGGUUUAAAGGGAGCGUAGGUGGGUCGUUAAGUCAGUUGUGAAAUGUUGCGGCUCAACCGUAAAAUUGCAAUUGAUACUGGCAGGCUUGAGUACAGUUGAGGUAGGCGGAAUUCGUGGUGUAGCGGUGAAAUGCUUAGAUAUCACGAAGAACUCCGAUUGCGAAGGCAGCUUACUAAACUGCCACUGACAUUGAUGCUCGAAAGUGUGGGUAUCAAACAGGAUUAGAUACCCCAGUAGUC
rnacentral:rRNA from 1 species